rnacentral:rRNA from 1 species
GGGACGAACGCUGGCGGCGUGCUUAACACAUGCAAGUCGAGGAGUGGCGGGGCAACUCGCCACGACCGGCGAACGGGUGCGUAACACGUGAGCGACCUACCCUGGUGUGGGGGAUAGCCGGCCCAACGGCCGGGUAAUACCGCAUGCGCUUUGGCUUCUUCCUGGAAGCUCAAGCAAAGUCUUCGGACGCACUGGGAGGGCUCGCGGCCUAUCAGCUCGUUGGCGGGGUAAUGGCCCACCAAGGCGACGACGGGU